rnacentral:lncRNA from 1 species
AUUCAUUCCUACUAUAACGUGUGGCUUCAGGCCCAGCUGGGGUGGAAGAGCUUUCUUCUCCACAGGGAUGCUGUGAAUAAGAUUAAAUCGUUACCCAUUGCUACGAAAGAGCAGCUUGAGAAACACAAUGAUAUUUGUGCCAUCUGUUAUCAGGUAACUCCUUCGAUAAGAAUCUGUUUGGGACAUGAAAUCUGCUGUGAUCACGCCUUGCGUUCAUUUUUUCCAUGCAGGCUGUCUUAAGAAAUGGCUGUAUGUCCAGGAGACCUGCCCUCUGUGCCACUACCACCUGAAAAACUCCUCCCAGCUUCCAGGAUUAGGAACUGAGCCAGUUCUACAGCCUCAUGCUGGAGCUGAGCAAAACAUCAUGUUUCAGGAAGGAACUGAACCCCCAGGCCAAGAGCAUACUCCAGGGACCAGGAUACAGGAAGGUUCUAGGGACAAUAAUGAGCGCAUCGCCAGACAACCAGAUAGCCAGGAAGGGGCUUUUGACCCCAAAGAAUAUCUUCACAGUGCAAAAGAUGAAGCACAUCCUGUUGAAUCAGCCUAG